GCAGUGAGCAGCAACAGAGCAGGUUCCUGCUGUUGGAAGUUCAAGUUGUGAAGAAGAACUGGAGAAAUUUGGCCUUUUCAACUUGGAGACACCUGAAAGGGACUGUGUUCAGCUGGGAGUAUCAGAAGGAAACAAAGACAUCUACAGAUGAAACAGGUGAAGAAAGAAAAUGGAGGACCGUGCACAUAUCAGAAUCGUUGGACCCUGAAGGAACAUAGGAUCAAAUUAGUUCUACACAGAUGUUACUUUAUGAGCUGGUUGACGAGAAAAGCUUAAAGUGCAGCAGACCCGCUUCAAAAUUUUAUUCAUUAGCCUAAACAAUACCAUUCUUCUGCAAAAAUCUGUCCUGCAACAGGGCACUACUCAGUAUUGAUAAGAUUUUCUACUUUGUAAUCCAGAAACAUGCAGCAUUAAACUCACAGCAAGGGCCCAGGAGAAAAUAAUAUUUAUCUGUAGCUCCGGGUGCAAGCAGAUAAACAGGUUGAGUCUCACUGGCCAAUUUGAAGCAAUGAAGAUUGUCUGGAAAGAGCAGUCAUGUUGGGAAUCAUUAACAUUACAAACUUUUUUUUGUAGGAUCCUACCAUUUACCCAAGGCUCAUGUGUAUUCAUUAAAGCUAGCUUUUUUCCCUCAUAUCCCUCAACUCUCCAAAGGAAAAUCAACAUAAUUGAAUAGGUUCAAAUAAUUCAAAUAUAAUUUGAAUGUGCAGGAAAAUAAGAAGCUACAGAGAGUAGUGCACUCAGCCCAAUACAUCACUUGCACCAUCGGAAGUACCUACAUGAGGCGCUGCCUCAAGAGGCAACAUCCAUCAUCAAAGUUCCCCACCAUCCAGGCCAUGCCAUCUUCUUGCAGCUACCAGCAGGCACGAGGCCAGGUUCAAGAACAGCUACUUUCCUUCAACCACUCAGUUCUCCAAUCAACCUGCACAACCUAAUCACUACUUCAUCACUACCUCAGUGUGGCAACACCAUGGGGCACUUUGCACUACAAUGGACUUUUGCUUUUUUUUUGUUCUAAUUGUGUUCUUCUUGUAUAAGUUACGUCUUUCUUGGGAAU